AAAUGGCGGCGUUGAAUGUGUCUGUUGUUCGGAGCUGGACGCUUCUGCUCUGGAUUUUGUUGUCGACGUCGGUGCGGGGCCGAAUCCAUCGCCUGAUCCUGAAGGAUGAUGUUAGGCAAAAGAUCCAUUUAAACACAUUUGGUUUCUUCAAGAAUGGAAAUAUGACUGUGGAAAUGACCAGUUUGACUUCAAAGGGUUUCGACUUCAAAACUGUUGACAACCCUGCGCUGGGGCUCAGUUUGGACAGAACCAAGAAUGAUGGCUUCUCAUCCUAUCUGGAAGAAGAUAUUGAUUUUUGCUUUUUGAAGAAAAAGCCUCCAAUUGAUGUACCUGUCACACUUUUCCUUUUUGACUUUGGAAAACUACAAGUUAGAGUCCUGACAUCUGGCAACAAUCAGCCAAAGGCCACUGAUGUUGGGACUGCAGAAAGCCAACCAGCCAAGGUCAAAAGCAGCAAGACAGAUGUGAAACCAAAGAGUGAACCAGAGAACUUAACAGAACCACAGAAGAAGAAUGAAACCAUGAAGCAGCUUGAAGCGCAGAAAGCAAAGCCAAAAUCUGUGAAACGUGUUGCUGAACCAAAGGCUAAAACUAUUCCACUGAAGGAAAAAAAUGCAUCCUAUUCAUUCACGUUCUCACUUACCAUUAAUACUGAGGAGGAACAGGGACUUUACAGUCUGUACUUCCAUAACUGCUACACCGACAAAAAGCCAUCUCUGCAGUCUUUCCGCUUUGAUAUGGAUAUUACAAUAGUGGAACAGAACCCUGGCAGUUAUUUGUCUGCAGGAGAGAUCCCCCUCCCCAAACUCUACAUCUCCAUGGCUUUCUUCUUCUUCCUGGCUGGAGUUGUCUGGGUUUACAUCCUCCGGAAACGCAGCAACGAUGUGUUUAAGAUCCAUUGGCUGAUGGGGGCGCUUGCAUUCACCAAAUCCCUCUCUCUCGUUUUCCAUGCUAUUGAUUAUCACUUUAUUUCAACUCAGGGUUACCCCAUUGAAGGUUGGGCUGUGGUGUACUACAUAACUCACUUGUUGAAAGGUGCUCUCUUGUUCAUCACGAUAGCAUUGAUAGGAACUGGCUGGGCUUUCGUUAAACACAUUCUUUCAGACAAAGACAAGAAAAUCUUCAUGAUAGUUAUUCCACUCCAGGUCCUUGCUAAUGUCGCUUACAUCAUUAUUGAGUCGACAGAAGAAGGGACGACUGAAUAUGGACUGUGGAAGGAGAUCCUCUUUCUUGUCGACCUCCUGUGUUGUGGUGCCAUCCUGUUCCCUGUGGUGUGGUCAAUUAGACAUUUGCAAGAGGUGUCAGCUAUAGAUGGAAAAGCUGCAGUUAACUUGGCGAAACUGAAGCUUUUCAGACAUUAUUAUGUUAUGAUUGUGUGUUACAUUUAUUUUACACGAAUCAUAGCAAUUCUGAUCAAAAUCAUUGUGCCCUUCCAAUGGAAAUGGCUCUAUCAGUUCCUAGAUGAACUUGCCACACUCAUAUUCUUCUGCUUGACGGGCUACAAGUUCCGACCGGCUUCAGACAAUCCCUAUCUUCAACUACCUCAGAAUGAGGAAGAUGUAGAGAUGGAUGAAGUGGUGACUACAACUGGAAUCAUGGAAGGAAUGAAAAAAGUUAACCAAACAUCGAAUGGCCCCGCAGAGCAGAGAGGAGAACAGGACAGAGUGGCAUGAUGGGCCACCAACAGAGACACGAGUGUAACUUGAGUGCUCUUCCUUCUUCAUUCUGUAUGGAAUAUGCACAGAAAACACUUGAUUCAGGGCUCAAAGAGGACUAAAGAACUCCUUAUCCUCUGCAGUCUGCCCUUCAUCCUACAAUCAACAGAAUUUUAGAACCCAAGUUCUGUGUCACCUGACCUUUACUUAUUGAUUAACCUUGCCUUCUCUCCUGGAGUUUGCAACUGAGAUGAUGAGCUACAACUGUGAGCUGAGGUUACCAUUUUAAAUGCAUCACUCAGUCGGUAAAAUGGGUUUUGAAACCUCUGCAAUCACCUCUUGCAUUUCCUUUUUCUCAAUUAAGGCAUUUUAGUUUAAAAAAAAGGAAUACAGUGAUUUCAUUGGAAAUUUAAGCAUCACUGCAUCAUCUAGUGUAAUGGCUGCUUUGUCUUCUACUUUUGUAUCAGUAUCAGAGAAGCUCUGAUGUUGACGAUUAGUCAGAUAGACUACACAACAGUUUACAGUUCCUUUUUUCACGUUCAUAAUUAUUUCCACCUCUCCAUGGUCAGCAUCCGCUGUCCAGAUUUGCACAUACAAAUCCCUGUCACUUGGACAGGCUACCAAAGAACUGCUGGUAACAAUGGGAUUAUACCCAGCAAGAGUCAGUGUGGUCAGGAGAAGAAUGAAAACAAAAAAUAGGGGAACAAUUUCAAAUAACAAAAAAGGUAGUAUGGAAGGGGUAAUAAAAGGCGAUAGGAAGGGGUCUAAUGGUGGUAACUUUAGAAUGGCUGCUGAGUACAAACAGAGUUUUGUAAAGUGGAAAGAUAGUCAGCUCUCAGAGGGAUGCAGCUGUAAUACAACAUCUUGCUAGUCAAGUACCAAGUUUUUCUCAGGAUGAGAAUGUGCUUUUGCAGAACAGGUCUGGAAAGAGAUUGGAAAAUGGUUUUUUUCAGGGUUCAUCCUGAGCAGCUCUGUAAUGUAGGACUCUGUGUUCUACGGACAGUUGCCGGAAACCAAGAUAAACAUCAACUACUAUUGGAGGGCCAUGAACUUAGCGAAAGACACUCAUUGGUCUACCUGAAACUAGUGGGUCUUUCAGUGCAAAGAGCCAUUGACGACAUAAUGUUUCAAACUAGCACAUUCCAGGGUCCAUGAUUCCAUGCUGAGGGGUGAACUAAAGCUUGGGGCAGCCACCACAAAAGUUCAAUGGGGAAAGCCCACUGGCUAAGGCACUCCCACCAUUGUAUACUGGUUUGGGGGUGGGUGGUGGUAAAAUCCCUUUGGCUGUAUGCACCAGAGAAUGUAUGACAUGAAAUACUGUAUUAAAAAUAAUGAUCUGUAUUACACUUUAUGUAAUGUCAAAUUUGAAUUGUUAUGUAAUGUACCUUUACAAAUUUUGUGUAUAA